UGAAAAUGUGGAUGAUCAGGACCAAGUUAUUCUCCCGUAAGGCCACAGUCUGCUGGAGGGAAUGACAUCUCCAGCCAGCUCUUCUCCAGAGAACCCUGUUUCCUCUCUCCUGCUUACUCUUCAAGACUUCCCUUUGAUGUCACCUGGUCUGUGAGACAGCCUUUCCUGGGACCCCCCCACGGAGAGAGAACCCACUCAUAAGACUCCAAAAUGCCAAGGCGCCCAGCUUCUCAUGCCCACCUCUGAGCUGUGAGGCAGAGGCCUGUUUAUUUUGGGUUGAUGAGUAAAUCAUGUGGAACAGAAUCAAAAGCUCUGCUGAAGUCAACACAGAUGACAUCUGUCACUUCCUCUUAAUCCAUCAGUCAGGGGGAGAGGGCAUUGGAUUAAUUAGACAGGCUCUUUCAAACGUUUGCCAGCAAUGACUCCAUGCCCUCUUUCUCUCAUGCACUGGUGAAGGAAAACAAUGAAUUUUCACCCUAUUGUUUAUCUUAGAAGGGUCAGGUUUUGAGGUCAAACAUCAGUGUAAAAUUUUGUCUUAAAAAAUGCACAUGCAUUCUAACUGCUAAUAGCUCAUAUGCCCAUCUUUGAAAUCAAAGUUCUUGUUUCUUUACGAAUGUGCCCACUGCAAGGAUAUCAAAGCAUUGGCAGACAUUAAGUCAGUGGCUUUGCCUAAGCCAGGCUUUCUCUCAUUGAAAAGGGAGGGAUCUAUUUGGGGAGAGAGUCUCUGGGGGCCGUGAUUUAUCCAGUUUGAUUACAUGGAACACUGGUCUCUGUUUAUUUGCUGCAACAUGGCAUCUGCCUUGGGAGGAGAUGCUCCACAGUCGACUAGAGCCUCUGCCAGCUGUGGCCACUUGUCUUCAGGCUGCACCUGUGUGAGUCC
rnacentral:lncRNA from 10 species